rnacentral:misc_RNA from 1 species
AAGUCUGAAAAUUUUCCAUCGAUAGAUGUUGCUGUUGAAGAAAAAGGGAAGAAAGAAUCUGAUGUAUCAGAUGAAAUUUCUGAUUCUGAACUCAAAGAACCUAAAACCAGACAAUCCGCAAUUGAAGUGAAAACACCCAUAGUAUGUGAGGAGUUGGGAAUGACUGACAAGGAGGUAGCUCCACUUGAAGUUGAAACUCCAUUCAGAGAUUUGUCUGGUUCUUCUGGCAGAGACUUGGCAGUUGAAGAACAAGAAAAAGAGAAGUCUGCUGCAAGUAAAAAUGUUUCUAGCCCCGAGAAUGAAGAGCAUAAAUGUAUUCCAGGUGCAAGAGCUGCUGAUAAUGGGGCAGAAUCACAAUUGGUUGCUGAGAGGGACUCUGAGACAGUUCUGAACAAGGAAGUAUUUUCAGGCAAAGAAGAGAUCUCCAGUAUCAAGCUAGCUGGUGAUGAAGAUGUGCCAACUGCUAUAGAGUAUGGUGAUCAAGAACUGUCAUCUGCUACAGGGGCUGGUGAUGAUUAAACUAUGACCACUGCAAUUACUGAUGCUUGAUCUGGUGUUUCUCCUGUAUUUCAGGCAGGCAGUACGUGGAAUCAUGCAUCUUAUUUAAAAUUCACUUGUAAAGAGGUUGCAUUUUGACAAUCUUGGGAAGGGUAGGGACUUGUAUAAAUAGCAAUAGUUCCUCAAGGAUCUCAAGUAUUUCAUUCGGCUCUCGCAACCUAAGUUGUGCAUUAAUCUUUGUUGUCAACAAGGAUCUACUUAGCUUCUUUUGACUGUAUCAGAUGAUGGAUGAGCUGGAUUUUAGCUUGUAUUUAGCAAUAUAGAAAUCUGCAUCUUCCAAGCAGAUGGUUCAGGCAAAACAGAGAUUUAUAUAGCAAGGAAACUGGUUG